rnacentral:rRNA from 1 species
UAGGGAAUCUUCGGCAAUGGGGGGAACCCUGACCGAGCAACGCCGCGUGAGAGAAGAAGGUUUUCGGAUCGUAAAGCUCUGUUGUUAAGGAAGAACGAGUGUGAGAAUGGAAAGUUCAUGCUGUGACGGUACUUAACCAGAAAGGGACGGCUAACUACGUGCCAGCAGCCGCGGUAAUACGUAGGUCCCGAGCGUUGUCCGGAUUUAUUGGGCGUAAAGCGAGCGCAGGCGGUUAGAAAAGUCUGAAGUGAAAGGCAGUGGCUCAACCAUUGUAGGCUUUGGAAACUGUUUAGCUUGAGUGCAGAAGGGGAGAGUGGAAUUCCAUGUGUAGCGGUGAAAUGCGUAGAUAUAUGGAGGAACACCGGUGGCGAAAGCGGCUCUCUGGACUGUAACUGACGCUGAGGCUCGAAAGCGUGGGGAGCGAACAGG